rnacentral:rRNA from 1 species
CAGCAGUAGGGAAUCUUCCGCAAUGGACGAAAGUCUGACGGAGCAACGCCGCGUGAGUGAUGAAGGCUUUCGGGUCGUAAAGCUCUGUUGCCAGGGAAGAACACUUAGGAGAGUAACUGCUCUUAAGGUGACGGUACCUGAGAAGAAAGCCCCGGCUAACUACGUGCCAGCAGCCGCGGUAAUACGUAGGGGGCAAGCGUUGUCCGGAAUUGUUGGGCGUAAAGCGCGCGCAGGCGGCUUUGUAAGUCUGUCGUUUAAGUUCGGGGCUCAGCCCCGUAUCGCCAUGGAAACUGCAAGGCUUGAGUGCAGAAGAGGAAAGUGGAAUUCCACGUGUAGCGGUGAAAUGCGUAGAGAUGUGGAGGAACACCAGUGGCGAAGGCGACUUUCUGGGCUGUAACUGACGCUGAGGCGCGAAAGCGUGGGGAGCAAACAGGAUUAGAUACCCUG